UUCGCUGCCCGCCUGCCUAAUUUUGCAAGUCGACCGGACAGAUGGGAGCUUGCUCCCUGAUGUUAGCGGCGGACGGGUGAGUAACACGUGGGUAACCUGCCUGUAAGACUGGGAUAACUCCGGGAAACCGGGGCUAAUACCGGAUGGUUGUUUGAACCGCAUGGUUCAAACAUAAAAGGUGGCUUCGGCUACCACUUACAGAUGGACCCGCGGCGCAUUAGCUAGUUGGUGAGGUAACGGCUCACCAAGGCAACGAUGCGUAGCCGACCUGAGAGGGUGAUCGGCCACACUGGGACUGAGACACGGCCCAAACUCCUACGGGAGGCAGCAGUAGGGAAUCUUCCGCAAUGGACGAAAGUCUGACGGAGCAACGCCGCGUGAGUGAUGAAGGUUUUCGGAUCGUAAAGCUCUGUUGUUAGGGAAAAACAAGUGCCGUUCAAAUAGGGCGGCACCUUGACGGUACCUAACCAGAAAGCCACGGUCUAACUACGUGCCAGCAGCCGCGGUAAUACGUAGGUGGCAAGCGUUGUCCGGAAUAAUUGGGCGUAAAGGGCUCGCAGGCG
rnacentral:rRNA from 1 species